rnacentral:rRNA from 1 species
CCCUCGUGGAGCGGAUGCAGUUAUUUGCCCAAAACCAAUCCGGCCUUCGGGUCGGUCAAUUGGUGACUCUGAAUAACCGAAGCGGAGCGCAUGGUCUCGUACCGGCGCCAGAUCUUUCAAGUGUCUGACUUAUCAGCUUGUUGUUAGGUUAUGUUCCUAACAAGGCAUCAACGGGUAACGGAGUGUCAGGGCCCGACACCGGARAGGGAGCCUGARAAACGGCUACCACAUCCAAGGAAGGCASCAGGCSCGCAAAUUACCCACUCCCGGCACGGGGAGGUAGUGACRAAAAAUAACGAUGCGAGAGCUUUAUGCUCCUCGUAAUCGGAAUGGGUACACUUUAAAUCCUUUAACGAGGAUCUAUUGGAGGGCAAGUCUGGUGCCAGCAGCCGCGGUAAUUCCAGCUCCAAUAGCGUAUAUUAAAGUUGCUGCGGUUAAAAAGCUCGUAGUUGGAUCUGGGUAGUCGAUGGACGGUGCGCUUUACGGCGUCUACUGUUCGUUCGGCACCACAUGCCGGCCAUGUCUUGCAUGCUCUUCACUGAGUGUGCUUGGCGACCGGAACGUUUACUUUGAAAAAAUUAGAGUGCUCAAAGCAGGCGUUAAGCCUUGCAUAAUGGUGCAUGGAAUAAUAGAAUAGGACCUCGGUUCUAUUUUGUUGGUUUUCGGAGCUCGAGGUAAUGAUUAAUAGGAACAG